AAUCAGCACGGGCGUCGAGGAAACUCUGCGCCCGUGCACGCAUGUUGAAGGGCAGGAAAAGAAAU
rnacentral:sRNA from 22 species